UAGGGAAUAUUGCGCAAUGGACGAAAGUCUGACGCAGCGACGCCGCGUGGGUGAAGAAGGUCUUAUGAUUGUAAAGCCCUGUGAGGGGGGACGAAAGAUUAAAACAUGACGGUACCCCCAGAGGAAGGACCGGCUAAACACGUGCCAGCAGCCGCGGUAAUACGUGUGGUCCGAGCGUUGUCCGGAAUGACUGGGCGUAAAGGGUGCGUAGGCGGGCACAUAAGUCAGGUGUGAAAUCCCCGGGCUCAACCUGGGAAGUGCGCUUGAAACUAUGUGUCUCGAGGCUGUCAGGGGUAAGCGGAAUUCCCGGGAGUAGCGGUGAAAUGCGUAGAUAUCGGGAAGAACACCGGUGGCGAAGGCGGCUUACUGGGACAGAUCUGACGCUGAGGCACGAAGGCGU
rnacentral:rRNA from 1 species